rnacentral:misc_RNA from 1 species
UCCGAGUUGACCCCGGCAGUCUUCGAUGAGUCCCCGGCCGAACCGCUGGCAACAUCGAACGAGGGUUGCGCUCGUUGCGGGACUUAACCCAACAUCUCACGACACGAGCUGACGACAGCCAUGCACCACCUGUGAAGGUGUCCCGAAGGAAAACCGUGUUUCCACGGCGGUCACCUACAUGUCAAACCCAGGUAAGGUUCUUCGCGUUGCGUCGAAUUAAACCACAUGCUCCGCCGCUUGUGCGGGUCCCCGUCAAUUCCUUUGGGUUUUAGCCUUGCGGCCGUACUCCCCAGGCGGGGUACUUAAUGCGUUAGCUGCGGCACAGAAGACGUUGAUGGUCUCCCACACCUAGUACCCAACGUUUACGGCGUGGACUAC